rnacentral:rRNA from 1 species
GACGUAGGUGGCGAACGUUGUUCGGAAUUACUGGGCGUAAAGGGCUCGUAGGCGGCCAACUAAGUCAGACGUGAAAUCCCUCGGCUUAACCGGGGAACUGCGUCUGAUACUGGAUGGCUUGAGUUUGGGAGAGGGAUGCGGAAUUCCAGGUGUAGCGGUGAAAUGCGUAGAUAUCUGGAGGAACACCGGUGGCGAAGGCGGCAUCCUGGACCAACACUGACGCUGAGUGAGCGAAAGCCAGGGGAGCAAACGGG